CAGCAGCCACGGGAAUACGUAGGGUGCGAGCGUUAAUCGGAAUUACUGGGCGUAAAGCGUGCGCAGGCGGUUGUGUAAGACAGGUGUGAAAUCCCCGGGCUUAACCUGGGAACUGCGCUUGUGACUGCACAGCUAGAGUAUGGCAGAGGGGGGUGGAAUUCCACGUGUAGCAGUGAAAUGCGUAGAGAUGUGGAGGAACACCGAUGGCGAAGGCAGCCCCCUGGGCCAAUACUGACGCUCAUGCACGAAAGCGUGGGGAGCAAACAGGAUUAGAUACCCGGGUAGUCCCUGUCUCUUAUAC
rnacentral:rRNA from 1 species